rnacentral:sRNA from 1 species
ACCUCACGCAGCAAUGGCAAAGGCUCCGUUCUAUCAUCUUUUGUUCUGUUUCGGGAUAUGGAGUGAUUCCUACUCUUCACUGGGUUUGGCUCAAUGGAGGAAUUGGUGCUCCUAUUGUACAGAAUCAGGAACGAAGAUUCAGGGAAUGUCUGUCACAUCUUAUGGCAUCCCACCUGGACAGAAUAUCCGAUUUGAAGAUUGUGAUUGACUUCCGUAAAACUGUACAACUCUCCAUUUGGCAGUGCUUACGUGAAGUACCAAAACCUAAAAUAAACCAAGCAGAGUAGCUGACUUGUAAGAAAACUGCUCUGCCUGGUGAACUUCAGCAUAGAAGAGUGGGCUCCACCUUAGAUUUUCCACCAGCAAGAGGACAACAGUCUAUCACUCUUAAACAAUAAACAGGGUAAGACUGAAAGAUGUGUCUAUUUGCAAAUCCGGAUAAUGUCAUAACUAUACCCAACACGUACACAGGGAUUGGGGUAAGGGAAAAUAAUUACACUCCUGAAUAAAUGUUCUAGUCAGUUAAAUUUUCAUCCGGCCUACAACCUUUCCUCCUCCACCUAUUAUACUUACCAUGCAAUUUUUGUGUCUUAGCAGAUACAUUCUUCAAUGCCAUAAAAAGCUGAUCUUUUUAAUACUAACAUUUUACUGACAUGAUAUUAAAAUAAGCAAAUGGUCCACUUUUUAAAGGAUUAUUCAAAAUCAAGCAUUAUUAAAGCUGUUAAGAAACAACUUUGGCCUCAAGAUUUUUGCUAGCUUCAUAAUAAUUUACUUCUCUUAGUGAUGUUCAAGUAUAACAGG